GGCACUUCAGUUGUUGGAUGAGUGAUAAUCACUGUGGGAUUUGUGGAAAAUUAACCUUACAAGACACCUCUUUCAGGACUGGUUGCAGGGCUGUGUGGGCACAGAACAACAUGAUUCUGCAUGGUGCUCCAGACAGGCACUUGGGAGCCCCUUGCAAAUACCGCUCAAUAUCUGGAGGUGUGUGGUCAGGCUAAGGGCACAGAAAGCCAGUCUGGCAAUAAAAAUGCCGGCAAGUCUCCACUCUCAAAUCCAAAGAGCAAAGAUGAACUCUUUCUCCAGAAAACCCUUGGCUGCAAAAACAACCAGUCCUGCUGCAAGCCCCUGCAUGGGAGAUGCAAGCAAUUGCUUCAAGGUACUUCAGCGUUAAUGGACCAUGUGUUUAUUUUUAGCUCUGCAUCUCUUUAGUGUACGAGAACCUGG